CUGGCGAAUGCCGGUGAGACUACAUCCGGACCCUGGGAUGCCGGUUCGAUUCCGGCCGCGCCGCAUCGGCUCGUAGCUCAAAUGGAUAGAGCACAAGGCACGUCUCACCACCAACUGGUCGCCAGCAC
rnacentral:Y_RNA from 1 species